ACUACGGGGGGCUGCAGUGGGGGAUAUUGCACAAUGGGGGGAACCCUGAUGCAGCGACGCCGCGUGGGUGAAGAAGCGCCUCGGCGCGUAAAGCCCUGUCAGCAGGGAAGAAAAUGACGGUACCUGAAGAAGAAGCCCCGGCUAACUACGUGCCAGCAGCCGCGGUAAUACGUAGGGGGCAAGCGUUAUCCGGAUUUACUGGGUGUAAAGGGGGCGCAGACGGCGAUGCAAGCCAGGAGUGAAAGCCCGGGGCCCAACCCCGGGACUGCUCUUGGAACUGCGUGGCUGGAGUGCAGGAGGGGCAGGCGGAAUUCCUGGUGUAGCGGUGAAAUGCGUAGAGAUCAGGAGGAACACCGGUGGCGAAGGCGGCCUGCUGGACUGCAACUGACGUUGAGGCCCGAAAGCGUGGGGAGCAAACAGGAUUAGAUACCCCAGUAGUC
rnacentral:rRNA from 1 species